rnacentral:lncRNA from 1 species
AAAAAAAAAAAGAGUUUUGAUAGGAAAAAUAAGAGACAACAAAAUUAUGCAUAAAUGGUAGGAAAUGGAAAAAAACUUAUGACAAUAAUGGGUAAGCCAUUCAGGCAAUCUCUAUCUCUAUCUCUAUCUACAUGUAUUCUAAGGUGCAAUUUGCUUAUGUGUCAGCUCACCAAUACCCUAUUUUUAAUCUUAAGCAUUCUCCUACUUUGCUUAUGUGUCUCUCCCUCAAACCAUUGCUUCAUAUUUUAAUCAUUCAUAAUCUAUAUACUUUAAAUCACUCCUUUAUAAAGUACAUAAUUCAUUGCUAGACUCUGUGAAUUUCUAACGUACAUAAUUCAUUGCAAUAAAAGAAUUAGUUUAGUAAUCUAUGGAUUUCAUAGUAUAUAUUGUACCUUCUCCAAGAGAAACACGGUGGUUUUUAAUUCUAAGUUUUGGUUGGUGGAUUUGGCAAUUAGGAGUAUAUUUUUUUAGUUUACUCUCUCUAUGUUGUAACCAGACGAGUAAAAGGAUAUAUUUUUAAAAGUUGUUCUUUUAAUUCUUUCUUUUGCUGCCAAUACAAAGACUACGAAUAUGGAAUUAUUCUUGGAGAUUUCUCAUGCAAAACUAGAAUAAGGAAAAGCUAGCAACUUCAUCAUACAUGCAUCUUAAGCAAAAAAUGCAAUGUGAUUGCUAAAUGAAUCGAUCAUACAUGCCGUUGAAAACUAUUUAUUUUAAUGAACAGUUCAAUUUAUGCAGCUUAUCUUUUUUAGAGAUAAAACUCUAUUACUUAUAUAUCAAUUCUAUAAAACUCCUUAUUUUUAUUAUAAAUUAUAAACUUUUAUGUGUACUUUAUAAUAAUAAAGUAACUUCGAAAUAGUUUACAUUAGCAAGUAUGGGGAAGUGCCCUUACCUUGGACGCUUUCCUGAAAAGAGAGAGGUCUUCAAAUAUAUUUCUAGCUUUACAAUAGCAACUUAAUUUAUAGGUGCUAUUCAAACAUUUCCAUGACAACUAGGCUUUUAAUAACCACAUUUUCUUUUAUCAAAGUCAGCAGUUUAUUUCGAUAAAAUCCAAGCCAAAGAUAAAAACUAUGUGAUGAAUUCAUUUUGGGUAAAAAAAUUGGAGAACCGGCCAAUCUUUUAUUAAGCAUGUGUUUCUUUUGAAGUUUUAGCACCACCGUCCAUUUAAUUAAAGUACACUACACAUUAACUAUAUUAUGUUCUUAACUAGCAGUCAAUUUUAAUGUUCUUUUCACAUUUGAUUUCUUAACUGCACAGGUAUAAUACGUCCAAGUGAAGAACAAUUAUAUUUAGGGGGAGUAUUGAAUUAGGAUUUUAAAAGACUAUUUUAAUAAAAAAAGUCUUAUAAGAUUUUUAAAGACCGUGUGAGAUUGUAUUGAUUCUGUGAGAUUUUAAAAGACUUUUUAAGUAAAAGACUUUAUACACUCAAGAUUUUAAAGGAUUUAUCACACUGACUUUUAAAAAUUUCAAAGGAUUUUAUGUUAUUUUAAAAUUUCAAAGAAUUAAAUGAAUUUUAGGGGAAAAAGAACAUACUUACAAGCGUGAAUGAUAGAAAUAAUGAACAAAUAAAUUCUAGCGUCUGAAUAAAGAAAAAUAAAACCAAUAAAAAAAUAUUUUACUAUUGAUUUUCAAAUUUUAAGAAUUUUAUGGAUUUUAUAAGAUUUUAAGGGACUAAAAAACACUCUAACACAUUAUUCUCAAUA